rnacentral:lncRNA from 1 species
UCAUUUGUAACGGGGAUUUUUUUUGGUCGAGGAUAUUUUUGGUUGAGUAAAAAGAAGAUUUUUUUAAAAAAUUUCCUCUGGUCAGUAGAGAAGAACAAAUAAAAAAGAAAGAUAUUCAAAAUUCACAGAUAAAAGUUGAAAAAGAUCUUUUAGUAUCGAUUUAAAAAAAAAAGCCUAGAGUUCCAGGUCGACUCAAAAUUUUUGUUCAUUGUUCACGUCGGUAAUUUGUGUUCAAGUUUUGUGGAAUGGAAGUCGCUGCCUAUUCCAGCUCAUUUGAACCCCAUUUGUUGCCCUGAAAAAAGUGAAAUUUUUCUUACCUCACUCGUCUUAUCGAGUGCUUCUUCUUCCGUAAGUUUGAGACAAUCGGUUGAUUUGUUUUCUUCUAUUUCAUCCUUGUCUGUCUCCUCUGACUAAAUGAUGAUUAAUGAAAUAGCGUAUGGUUUUGGAUAGAGUAAUUUUUUUAGAUUGAAGCAUGAAGUGUGUUUUUUUCUUUCCAUGUGAGUUAUUCGUCUUCAAACGUCUAUGGGGGAUUGAGCAGAAUACGAGGUUCUGUUAAUUUUGCUCUAUAAGGAUCAAAUGCUACCUCUACUAUUGAGUUUGGUUUAUGAUGGAUUUUAAGUGUUACCAUGUCGUUCUUAUAGAGUGAUUUAUUUGGGAAUAUGGGCGAAAUAUGAAAGUGGUGGUGUAUGUCUCAAAACUGUUUUCUCUAGCUUUAAAAAUCGUUAUUUUCCUUUUGUAUUUUCCAAGUUCUUUUUUUUUUCACGGCUGCAUUCUGUUUUUUUAUUUUGAAAACUAUUUAUACUCGUCUUAAGUCCAUUUUUCCUCCCUUUUAUUUUUUUUGAUCUUCUCUAUCUGUGCACAUGUCCUUGUUUCGAUCUAGUGUUGAAUCUCGUUGCCUUUGCUUUCUUUUUUUGAACUCAUUUUAGUUGGCUUUUAUCCAUAUUGAUGUGGGUAAAGAUUCAUACCAUAGCGGGAAGUUUCUUUAAUUGAUACCCUCGUUCUGAUUUUUCUACAUAUCUAUACGUUUUACCGAUUUCUGCUAAUGUGUUCUCUAUGCCUUGGUGAUGUUGUUAUCUAUGUUAGUUGCUUCACUAUGUAAAAACCGUGUUGUUGGGUGCUGAUUUUUUUCACUGCCUCUUCAAGGUUAUUUGAUAACCCCUUUUAUUUGCAUAGAAAUAUGAUUAUUUUGGGAUGGAAUGUGAUUUCUUUUAAGUAAGAAUUUGAUAAAAGCCUACUUCAAUUGGUUUGUAUUCAAAUAAUGCAUUGCUUUCAAGUUUUAAGUGCAGGCAAUUAGUUUGUGAAAUUUGUACUGAAAAUUGUUGAAACAUUUGCUAGAGUUGCUGCCCUUUUAUUGAAUCUCAAAAGAUGAAAUGGAAUCUUCGUGACUUAUAUGUCAUAUUUCCCUACAAUAUUACGUUGUUAAUAUAAUUUAUGAAUGUGGCACAAAAUAGCUUUGCUCAUUCUUCUCACGGUAGCCAGAGUAAUUGUUAAAAUCAUCAAAAGUUGAUAGAUUAUGUCCAUUAUAACUUUACCAUGAUCUGUUAUACUAUGUUAUUGGUCACUCUAAUGCUAUUAAUUUUAUUUCAUAGAGGUGUAUUAGAGUUUUUCCUCUUCCCGUACUAAUAUGAUUUUAUUUAUGCUUGGCAUGUAAUUUGUUAGAAUCCGCCAUGGAUUUUAACCCUUCCCUUGCAUUUCGACAAAAUCGUAAAGGCUUAAUUUCUUACUUUCGAGUUAACCCUUAGAAAAGGCAAACAAGUGUCAAACUUGAAGAAUGCGCGCAAAUCAAGAAGUUGAAGAAAUAGGGAAAAAUAGUCAAUUUUUAUUAUUAUUUUAUUUUCUUUAUCUUUAUAUUGUAUUUUGUUAGCUUUGGGCCUAAGCCCUUGUCUGUUGUAUUACUAUUAUUUUGCUAGUUUAGUACAGGUACAAUGGGCCUAAGUCUCAAAUGCGAAACGGGUCCAAAUACGGAUCCAGGCGUACAAAAAACCCAAAUUUGGGCCCAAAACUCUCUCUUUCUCUAUCUCUCUCUUUAUAUGCUUCUAAUUAUUUGUUAUUUAAUUGUCGGUUGGUUUUAGGGUUAAAGAAUUCCGAUCCCCGCAAAAUGCCACAUUUGUUUUAACGACUCAGUUAAAUCAAGUACAUAGCUCUAAAAUUUUUACAAAAUUAAAUUUACUUAGAUAAUUAUUAUUUCACUUUCAAACAAUCUUAAAUGACUUUAGCAUUCAUUCUGAAGCAAUUCUUAGAAAUAUUUUUAUCACAUUUAAGUUAGAUGAUUUUUAGCCAAAUAAGUUAGUUGUAUGAUAACAGUAAGUAAGUCGAUAUCUUAGGUGCUUUAUAAACCUUCCUAAGAUGCUAAUAAGUAUCUCUGAACCCUACCUUAAAGUAUUUUCAAAUGAUUUUUCUAUUAAGUCUUUUGAAAAUAAAGGUUUUAUUGAUUUUUCUCAAAAAUUAAGUGGAGAAUCUAAAAAAGUUGAAAAAUUAUAAAAUAUAAAUGUUUUUUCUAUUUUUUUAUUAAACAAUAAUCGGGACUAUAUUGGUGAUUGUCGAUAACUAGAAUAUUAAAGAGAUGGAGUCAUAUGAAAGAAAAUGUUUGGUAUGGUCACUAUGGGAGAAGAAUCUAGUGUUAUUCGACUGUGGUUCUGUAUAUUUUAAUAUGACCAUCUACUUUGUUUUGGAUAUGAUUUGGAUUGUUAUUCGCUCUAUACCUACACAUGUUUUCAUAUUAAUUGUUGAAUUCCUUAUGGUGGAUCGGGUGUACCGAUCCUAUGAGUGUCCUCCUUGUAAGAUGGCACCCUUGGUUAGACUUGUUCAUUCUGGGAGAUCUUGUGUUGUUUGGGAUAGCUCAAGUAUAGUAGUGAUUCUAUACGCACAAUCUUGCUUAUAAGAACUUAUAUAAGAGCUACCAUAUAUGAAGAGUUACAAUUUUCUAAAAGUAUUGUUAGAGAUUCU